rnacentral:rRNA from 1 species
UCAGCUAGUUGGUAGGGUAAUGGCCUACCAAGGCAAAGACGGGUAGCCGGCCUGAGAGGGUGGUCGGCCACACUGGGACUGAGACACUGCCCAGACUCCUACGGGAGGCUGCAGUCGAGAAUCUUUCGCAAUGCCCGAAAGGGUGACGAAGCGACGCCGCGUGCGGGAAGAAGGCCUUCGGGUUGUAAACCGCUGUCGGGAGUUAAGAAAUGUAAGGAUGUUAAUAGCAUCUUUACUUGACUAAGGCUCCGGAGGAAGCCACGGCUAACUCUGUGCCAGCAGCCGCGGUAAUACAGAGGCGGCAAGCGUUGUUCGGAAUUAUUGGGCUAAAGAGCACGUAGGCGGCUAUGUAAGUCGGUUGUGAAAGCCUUCCGCUCAACGGGAGAACAGCAUCCGAUACUGCAUGGCUUGAGUGCGGGAGGGGAGAGUGGAACUUCUGGUGGAGCGGUGAAAUGCGUAGAUAUCAGAAGGAACGCCGGCGGCGAAAGCGGCUCUCUGGCCCAUAACUGACGCUGAGUGUGUGAAAGCUAGGGGAGCAAACGGGAUUAGAUACCCCGGUAGUCCUAGCCGUAAACGAUGGGCACUAAGUAGAGGGGUUUUGAUUAUCUCUCUGCCGGAGCUAACGCAUUAAGUGCCCCGCCUGGGGAGUACGGCCGCAAGGCUAAAACUCAAAAGAAUUGACGGGGGCUCGCACAAGCGGUGGAGCAUGUGGCUUAAUUCGAUUCAACGCGAAGAACCUUACCGGGGUUUGACAUGGUAGAAGUAGAAGCCUGAAAGGGCGACGAACGGUAUCCAGUCCGAAGCUAUCACAGGUGUUGCAUGGCUGUCGUCAGCUCGUGUCGUGAGACGUUGGGUUAAGUCCCCUAACGAGCGAAACCCUUGUCUUUAGUUGCCAACAGGUAAUGCUGGGAACUCUAAAGAGACUGCCGUCGUCAAGACGGAGGAAGGUGGGGAUGACGUCAAGUCAUCAUGGCCCUUAUAUCCCGGGCUGCACACGUGCUACAAUGGUCGGUACAAAGGGAUGCUAAGUCGUAAGGCGGAGCGAAACCCAGAAAGCCGAUCUCAGUUCAGAUUGGAGGCUGAAACCCGCCUCCAUGAAGUAGGAAUCGCUAGUAAUCGCGGAUCAGCUACGCCGCGGUGAAUAUGUUCCCGAGCCUUGUACACACCGCCCGUCAAGCCACCCAAGCAGGAUGCACCCAAAAUCACCGACCAAACCCGUAAGGGAUGGAAGUGCUUAAGGUGUGUUUUGCGAGGAGGACUAAGUCGUAACAAGGUA